CUAGUAAUCGUGCAAGUAUAUCACGAAUAGUCAUGCUUGCUGAAGCUCUUUUUGAGGUUCUGGAUGAAAUUCAUCACCAGCCUAUGUCACUUUCCCUAUCAAUGGUAUCCCUACCAGCCCCGGAAUCAGUUGUUGACUCUUUUCCUCUCAAGAAUCACAGGAAGGAGGACAAAGUUGAGGGCAGUGAUGAUGUUGAACAGUGUUACAU
rnacentral:misc_RNA from 1 species